GGGGAAUAUUGCGCAAUGGGGGAAACCCUGACGCAGCAACGCCGCGUGAAGGAUGAAGGCUUUCGGGUUGUAAACUUCUUUGAUCGGGGACGAAAACUGACGGUACCCGAGGAACAAGCCACGGCUAACUACGUGCCAGCAGCCGCGGUAAUACGUAGGUGGCGAGCGUUGUCCGGAAUUACUGGGUGUAAAGGGCGUGUAGGCGGGAUGUCAAGUCAGAUGUGAGAUACCGAGGCUUAACUUCGGGGGUGCAUCUGAAACUGAUAUUCUUGAGUGUCGGAGAGGAAAGUGGAAUUCCCAGUGUAGCGGUGAAAUGCGUAGAGAUUGGGAGGAACACCAGUGGCGAAGGCGGCUUUCUGGACGAUAACUGACGCUGAGGCGCGAAAGCGUGGGUAGCAAAC
rnacentral:rRNA from 1 species